AAUGCCCCACAUAGCAAACGGCCACGGAGAUGACAUCAAACUCAACGGGUUUGGAGGCACGUGCACCUUGUCAGCAUAAAUCUGGCAUUUAUGACAUUUCCGCACGAAGUUGAAACACUGAGCCUCCAUCGUCAUCCAAUAAUAUCCAGCCCUUAACAACUUUUUCACCAUUGCAUUCCCACUGGCAUGGGUACCAAAC
rnacentral:lncRNA from 1 species